rnacentral:rRNA from 1 species
AGCAGCCGCGGUAAUUCCAGCUCCAAUAGCGUAUAUUAAAGUCGUUGCAGUUAAAAGCUCGUAGUUGAAUUUCGGGAUCAAUUUAUUGGUCGUGCAAUAGUACGUACUGGUAUUAUUGGUUCCUACCUUCUGAUGAACCAUGAUGUCAUUAAUUUGGUGUUAUGGGGAAUCAGGACUGUUACUUUGAAAAAAUUAGAGUGUUUAAAGCAGGCUCACGCUUGAAUACAUUAGCAUGGAAUAAUGAAAUAGGACGUUUGAUUCUAUUUUGUUGGUUUCUAGGAUCGACGUAAUGAUUAAUAGGGAUAGUUGGGGGCAUUAGUAUUCAAUUGUCAGAGGUGAAAUUCUUGGAUUUAUUGAAGACUAACUACUGCGAAAGCAUUUGCCAAGGAUGUUUUCAUUAAUCAAGAACGAAAGUUAGGGAUCGAAGACGAUCAGAUACCGUCGUAGUCU